rnacentral:rRNA from 1 species
GACGAACGCUGGCGGCGUGCUUAACACAUGCAAGUCGAGCGAUGAAGUUCCUUCGGGAACGGAUUAGCGGCGGACGGGUGAGUAACACGUGGGUAACCUGCCUCAUAGAGGGGAAUAGCCUUCCGAAAGGAAGAUUAAUACCGCAUAAGAUUGUAGUUUCGCAUGAAACAGCAAUUAAAGGAGUAAUCCGCUAUGAGAUGGACCCGCGUCGCCUGAGCUAGUUGGUGAGGUAACGGCUCACCAAGGCGACGAUGCGUAGCCGACCUGAGAGGGUGAUCGGCCACAUUGGGACUGAGACACGGCCCAGACUCCUACGGGAGGCAGCAGUGGGGAAUAUUGCACAAUGGGGGAAACCCUGAUGCAGCAACGCCGCGUGAGUGAUGACGGUCUUCGGAUUGUAAAACUCUGUCUUCAGGGACGAUAAUGACGGUACCUGAGGAGGAAGCCACGGCUAACUACGUGCCAGCCGCCGCCGUAA